GACAGAGGUGCCAAGCGUUAGGCGGAAUCACUGGGCUUAAAGCGUGUGUAGGCGGAUCGUUAAGUACCUUGUGAAAUCCCACGGCUCAACCGUGGAACUGCUGGGUAUACUGGCGAUCUUGAGCCACCUAGGGGCGAGCGGAACAAGCGGUGGAGCGGUGAAAUGCGUAGAUAUCGUGAGGAACACCAGAGGCGAAGGCGGCUACCUGGACAAUUGCUGACGCUCAGGCACGAAAGCGUGGGGAGCAAAAGGG
rnacentral:rRNA from 1 species